GGAGAGGUGGCAGAGUGGUUGAAUGCACCGCACUCGAAAUGCGGCAUACCUGCAAGGGUAUCGGGGGUUCGAAUCCCCCCCUCUCCGCCA
rnacentral:tRNA from 1 species